CGCGUAGGCUGUCUUUUAUGUCAGGUGUGAAAGCCCGGGGCUUAACCCCGGAAGUGCAUUUGAAACUGAAAGACUUGAGUAUGGGAGAGGGAAGUGGAAUUCCUGGUGUAGCGGUGAAAUGCGUAGAUAUCAGGAGGAACACCGGUGGCGAAGGCGACUUCCUGGACCAAUACUGACGCUGAGGCGCGAAGGCGUGGGGAGCAAACAGGAUUAGAUACCCUGGUAGUCC
rnacentral:rRNA from 1 species